rnacentral:rRNA from 1 species
AUUGAACGCUGGCGCCAUGCCUUACACAUGCAAGUCGAACGGCAGCACGGACUUCGGUCUGGUGGAGAGUGGCGUACGGGUGAGUAAUACACCGGAACGAGCCCAGUAGGGGGGGACAACUAUUCGAACGAGUAGCUAAUACCGCAUACGACGUAAGGGUGAACGUGGUGGAUCGCAAGACCUCAUGCUUUUGGAUCAGCCGGUGUCAGAUUAGCUUGUCGGUGAGGUAAAAGCUCCCCCAGGCGACGAUCUGUAGCUGGUCUGAGAGCACGACCAGCCACACUGGUACUGAGACAAGGCCCAGACUCCUACGGGAGGCAGCAGUGGGGAAUUUUGGACAAUGGGCGCAAGCCUGCUCCGGCAAUGCCGCGUGUGUGAAGAAGGCCUUCGGGUUGUAAAGCACUUUUGUUCAGGAAGAAAAGAUUCGUGCUAAUAUCAUGGGUCGAUGACGGUACCGGAAGAAUAAGCACCGGCUAACUACGUGCCAGCAGCCGCGGUAA